rnacentral:rRNA from 1 species
CCUACGGGAGGCAGCAGUGAGGAAUAUUGGUCAAUGGGCGCGAGCCUGAACCAGCCAAGUAGCGUGAAGGAUGACUGCCCUACGGGUUGUAAACUUCUUUUAUAAGGGAAUAAUGUGAGCCACGUGUGCCUUUUUGUAUGUACCUUAUGAAUAAGGAUCGGCUAACUUCGUGCCAGCAGCCGCGGUUAUAAGGAGGAUCGGAGCGUUAACCGGAGUUAUUGGGUUUAAAGGGAGCGUAGAUGGGUUGUUAAGUCAGUUGUGAAAGUUUGCGGCUCAACCGUAAAAUUGCAAUUGAUACUGGCAGUCUUGAGUACAGGUGAGGUAAGCGGAAUGCGUGGUGUAGCGGUGAAAUGCGUAGAUAUUACGAAGAACUCCGAUGGCGAAGGCAGCUUACUAAACUGCCACUGACAUUGAUGCUCGAAAGUGUGGGUAUCAAACAGGAUUAGAUACCCCUGUAGUC